AGAGUUUGAUCCUGGCUCAGAUUGAACGCUGGCGGCAUGCCUUACACAUGCAAGUCGAACGGCAGCGCGGGAGCAAUCCUGGCGGCGAGUGGCGAACGGGUGAGUAAGACGUCGGAACGUGUCCUGGAGUGGGGGAUAGCCCGGCGAAAGCCGGAUUAAUACCGCAUACGCUCUAUGGAGGAAAGCGGGGGAUCGCAAGACCUCGCGCUCAAGGGGCGGCCGAUGGCGGAUUAGCUAGUUGGUGGGGUAAAGGCCUACCAAGGCGACGAUCCGUAGCUGGUCUGAGAGGACGACCAGCCACACUGGGACUGAGACACGGCCCAGACUCCUACGGGAGGCAGCAGUGGGGAAUUUUGGACAAUGGGGGCAACCCUGAUCCAGCAAUGCCGCGUGUGUGAAGAAGGCCUUCGGGCUGUAAAGCACUUUUGUCCGGAAAGAAAACGCUCUGGUUAAUACCUGGGGCGGAUGACGGUACCGGAAGAAUAAGCACCGGCUAACUACGUGCCAGCAGCCGCGGUAAUACGUAGGGUGCGAGCGUUAAUCGGAAUUACUGGGCGUAAAGCGUGCGCAGGCGGUUCGCUAAGACCGAUGUGAAAUCCCCGGGCUUAACCUGGGAACUGCAUUGGUGACUGGCGGGCUCGAGUAUGGCAGAGGGGGGUAGAAUUCCACGUAGCAGUGAAAUGCGUAGAGAUGUGGAGGAAUACCGAUGGCGAAGGCAGCCCCCUGGGCCGAUACUGACGCUCAUGCACGAAAGCGUGGGGAGCAAACAGGAUUAGAUACCCCCGUAGUCC
rnacentral:rRNA from 1 species